CCAUCUCCUCAUGCAAUGGUCCAUGCCAAACCUUAAAUGAUUGCGACGGCCAGUUAAUUUGCAUUGGAGGAAAAUGUAACGACGAUCCUGACCUUGGAACCCACAUAUGCGGCGGAAGCUCGCCUUCCGGGCCAUCCCCUCAGGGCAAUUGUAGCCCAACUGGCUCCAUGACAUGUUCAGGAGAGACUAAACCCACUUAUACAUGCUCUCCGCCGGUUACUAGCUCCACGGCGGCAAUUCUUACGCUAAAUGAUUUUGACGUAGGUGGAGACGGCGGGGCUGAAUCAGAAUGUGACGGCCAAUAUCACAAAAAUAGUGAAAGGAUUGUUGCACUUUCCACUGGUUGGUAUGCAGGAGGGUCGAGGUGUGGGAAAAUGAUAAGAAUCACAGCCAGCAACGGGAGAAGCGUGACUGCAAAGGUUGUGGAUGAAUGCGACUCUAGAAAUGGCUGUGAUAAGGAGCACGCUUUCCAGCCACCUUGCGAUAACAACAUUGUUGAUGGAUCCAGUGCUGUGUGGGAAGCUUUAGGGCUUAACGAGGAUGAUGGAAGAGUACCAGUUACUUGGUCUAUGGCAUGAUGAAAAUGGUGACAUUGAGAUCGAUAUACGCACAACAAUUCCGUCAGUAAUAAGUUGGCUUCUAGAAUAAGAGUUUCCUAAGUCUGGUAUUGAAGUGUAAUUUGGUUUUGAUUUCUAAUGUGUCAAUUUACUGAUAAGUGGCAUCAUGGAAAAUGAUGUCUUGGAUGGCCUUCAAUGGUUGAUCAACCCAGAAUUCGUCUUGAUGAAUUUCUUAAGAUUAGAUAUGGUUUCCAAGUGCUUUCACUUGGGUUCUCUCUUCGUUAAAUUGAAUUUCUUCCUUUCUCCUUUUUCGCGAACACAACUGGUUUAUUGGUGUUUGAUAUGUAAAAAAGAAUUGUCAAUAACAUGGUUUUUUUUUUAAAUGUGCAGUUUUUCUUUUUUGUAUUUCUUGGAUGCGAUUAAUGUUGCAAUAUAUUUUUAGACCGGACCAAGUAUCGACUCGGUCAAAUUCAAGGUCAGGAAUCAAUGGAUUUGAUUGGAUCAAAUCAAAUGAGUUCAUUAAUACGUCACACAUAUGUGUGUGUGCGCCCCAUUCAUUUUUUUUUUCUACAAAUCAAAUUCUUAAAUUAUAACGAAGUACUCAUUUACAAUUCAUUAACAGAGAGUCAAAUCCAUAUCUAAUUCACCAAACAAUUCAUAAGAAUAUUCCUUUUGUCUUUUUUUUUAAAUCCAUCAUAAAAUUCAAAACCCACUUAAAUUAACAUCAAUUAGAUAUUGUUAAAAUUUCCAACAGAAGUUGGUUAUUCUAAAACUAAAUUUUCAAGACAUAUUUGAAGAAUAUGACAAUUAAGGUUGCAUAUUGAAAUGAUAAAGAGUUCAUGAGAGCACUUGUGGAUGUUUAAAACAUUCAAGGGUCAAUAUAAAAUACUAGAAAAGUUUGGACUUGAAUGUAAAAUUAUGUCUUUUAUUUCCUCAUCUUAACCCACAUUCCCAGUCAUGUUUCAUUCUCGUAGCCAUCAAUGUCUUCAGCCAUCUUCUCUACUUCGCUGGUCUUUCUCCUCUUUUUUCAUUUCGUCAAUUUUCUACAUUUUUAUCCUCUAUUCUUCUAAUAAGCAACAAAAUAGUUUUCUUACUCUAUUCAUUUGUUCUUCCUUUCUUUUUUUAUUCCUUUGAAAUCUUUCUCUCUUUCUGUCUCUCUCUUUUUUGAUUCUCCAUCUUUUGUCGCUCUUUUUUUUUUCUUUGGCCUUUCUUGAGUUUAGAUUUGUUACUACUACUAUUUAUUUAAUAGAUAAAAUUAAAUAACAAUAUGAAAUUAGGUUGGAUUCUGAAGAGGAUUGGGGAAAUUUUGAUAAUAAAAAAAGGUCAGCAUAAAAUUGGGAAAAAUGGAAAAUCCGGUUCAUAUUGCGUCUCCGGUUUUCGGUCAAAUUUGAUUUUUUAUCGGCUUUGACCAAUCUUUUACUAAGCUGAUUUUAGGUAAAGUUGGACCAGACUACUAUCCGGUUCUCAAUUCAAUCGAUUGAACCAAUUAGUCUAGUCCGAAUGGUUAAAUGAUUAUCAAUUAAAUAAAAAGUUAUUUUAUGUAUCAAUCCUUACAUCUCCUGCUACUACUGGCGGAGUAACAGCUAGUUUUGGUAUGUUGGGUGAUACAUUAUUGCUACUAGCGGAGUAACAGCCAGUUUUGGUAUAUUGGGUAAUAUCAUUAUUACCGAACCCAAUGCCUAUAUUGCAUUUGCAGGUAAAAAAGUAAUUGAACUAACAUUGAAUACAACAGUACCUCUUGAAAGUUCACAAGCCGCUAAAUAUUUAUUCCAGAAGGGUUUAUUUGACAUAAUCGUACUACGUAAUCAUUUAAAAAGCAUUCUUACAUAGUGAGUUAUUUCACUUCUAUGCUUUUGUUCCUUUGAAUCAAAAUGAAACAGAGCACUGAGUUCAACAAUUAUUUGUUAUUUGUCAUAAAUGAGUAGGUAGUUUAUCGGAAUCAUAGGAAAUAAGAAUGGAAUUUUCUUUGGUGGCAUAAAUUCGAAUUAUAGAACGAAUCACAAGUUGUGGAUAAUUCUUUUUUACUUAUAUUUCUUAUUUCUGAUUCUUAAUUAAAUUUUUAAUUAAGAAGUCUCUAUCAAAAAAAAAAAAAGAUUGAAUUCUUCAAAUUAGAGUCAUACCCAAAUUACAACACAAUGAUCUACAAACUUACAUCACCUAUUAUAACAAGUUUACGCAACACUAUAAAAGGCUUCUUUAAUAUUGCCAAAUUUUGACUAAGCCGUUCUUUCAUUAAAUUUUAUCAUCAAUACAUGAAGGGCCAUGUCCAUCAUUCACUAGGUGGUCUUCAGCCUAGUUGUAACGGAAAAGGCAGGCCAAGUUGGUCUUUUUUUUUUUAUUUUUUUAAUAUUUUAUGUUUUGUCAACAUAACAUAUCUACCCUACAACUAUUUUAAUCUAUACUAGUAACUGUUUAACUGGGCCAAAAAAGAUUGGAGGGAGAGCAGAAAAAUCCACCUCUAUAAAUUAUUUGGAUCUGCCUACUUAGCCAAUUUUAUUGGAUACACUACUCCAAGUGUUCUGCAUGAGGAUAUCGUUAUCAACUUUAGGCAUACAUGCUAAGUUUUGUACUCCUACGCCCAAGAAAAAAAAAGUUUCGUACUCCCACUUAGUAAUGAAAAGUAACUAAACAUUUAGACAUUGAUUAGAUUGGGAAUAUGAAGUAUGAACUGCAUGUAGAGUAAAUAAAUUUGAACUGCAAAAGCAGCUAAUCUAUAUAAAUAUGCGAUAUCAUGUACGUAUAUAUCAACUUAAUACUGAUAACUGAACUUUCGUAGACGGAUUGAAGAGAGGACUCCCACAAAGUCACGAGUAGUAUAGCAGUAGCAUAGUCAACUAAGCAGCCAACAUGGAAAAAGAGGACUGUGCAGACUUUUCAUUUUUUCUUUUGCCCCUUUUUCGGGUAAACAACAGAAAAAGUACCGGAUUUGUCAAGUAUUCAUAAAUGAUUUGCAGCUAGACUACGUCUUCACUGUUCAAGAAAUCAUAUGGUAAGAAGCUGGCCUAUUUUCCACCAGGGAAUUAUGCCAGGAGCAUGAUUACUAUUUACCAUUCAUCACCACAUCUAGACAUACGAAAUGGGAUCUUCCAACUGUGGUUAUAAAACUCGGUCCGACCUGUCGGUUCAAUCAUUCAAACCCAUGAAUUAGCCACCUAGCCUAGCUGGUUUAAAGUUAGACCAAACAAGUAAUUAACUUGUUAACUAGUCAACAACUCAACGAUUCAACUGUUCAAGCAGAAAAAAUUGUCGAUUGAAUCGUCAAUUGAACUGUUAACUUAAAAAUUAUAUUAUUAUUGUAAUUUAAAAUAUAUUAUUGUAUUAUAUAAUAUAACUAAUAGGUGAUCUGGCCAAUCUUCAAUUGAACCAGAAACUCAUUGAACCGGUCACAUCUCUAAGUUGAGGUUCAGGUUGGCUUUUUUAGCUAUGCCUUCAACAAAAAGAAAGAGAGAAGGUAAAUGAAAUGGAAAACAAAUCAUGGAACAACCCAAGUUUUACGCUUCAAUUUAUUUGUUUUUUGGUUUGAUUACAAAGAAUAGAAAGCGACCUAGGAUGUCGUUUUAUUACUGUUAAGACCAGAGAUUCCAUCCAUCCAAAUAUCAUUUGCUUUGUACAUUAUUUCUAUUAGCAAAGCUUGUCUUAAAAAUUCCAAUCAUUAAUAAGACCAGAAUCUAAGAUUUUUUUCCUUUUUUUUUUGGUAAAAAAAUGCGUUUCUUUAUUAAUGCCAGUUCUUUAGAGAGAAAUGAUGGAUUGGGUGAUUUAGGAGAGGGACUAUAAGUAAAAAAUUCUGAAUUCAAAUCCUCUUAUUUACACGCACAUGCACACACACAUGUAUACCAGUCCUCCACUUUCUAACUGGGUUUCACCUUGGGUGGACUAUGCUUGCCCAAAAAUUUUCAUUUAGUAGGCCUAAUAAAUGGGCAUGUCAUAUUGUACGAACUAGCGUUGGAAUUAGGAGUGGAAUCGAGCGAGCGGAGUUGAAUUUAAACCUAAUCGAGUCAAGUUUCAACUUUCAAUAUAAUUUUACGAAACUCGAAUCUCGAGCUCGAGCUUAAAAAAAUAAAAAAUAUAAUUAUUUUAUUUUUAAAAAAUAAUAAAAUAAUAAUUUUAUUUUUAAAAAAUAAUAAAAUAAUAAUUUUUCUUAACAAAUAAUAAAAUAUUAAGGAUAUAUAUAUAAUUUUACUAUUAAAAUAAAAAAAUUAUAUAUAUAUAUACAUAUUUAUAAUCGAGUUCGAACCGGCUCGCAAGCUAAUGAGUUUAAUAUUUUUGAAUUCAAGUUUGACUUGGUCAGCUCGAUCUCAACUCGAGUUUAUUGUUAACCGAAUUCGGACUCGAAUCACUCGCGAGCCGAUUUGUUUGCGGCCCUAGUUGAAAUAAGGCAAAUAGACCUUCCUUUUCAUUCUUUACUCUCUGUUUGAUGAACCCAUCCAAGGAUCUAUAAUGAAAGUCACCCAAAAAUUCAAACUAUAAAUUCAUACUUAAAAAUAAUCAAAAUUUCAUAAUGUGUAAAAAUUUAGUCAUGUUGUUAUGCUUAUAUAUUGGAAAUACUAAUCGUAAUUCACUAACCUUAGAUCGAUAGUGCAUCACAUCAAUAUACAGGAGAUAAAACCAUACCAAAUUCCUAUCAAUAUUGAUGCCUUUUUCCCUGUGCAUGCAUUAGGCCUGGCCUUGUCCACAUCUGGUGUCAUGAAUAAUAAGCUACACCCCUCACAUUCGUGAGUUAACUAGGCAGCCGACUCUCAAGUCUCAACCUCUCACAAGAACUUAACACAUUGCAAAUACAAGGGGUGCGAUCUUCUGAACCUACACAUUUCCUUAAAGCCUGGCAUUAACCUUGAUUGGUUGCAAAUCCCACCUGACCACCAUCUAUUUGUUUAGGCUAGUCUUCCACGGAAGAGAACUCUAGAAAAGGUGCAGGCAUAGGCAUUCCGUCCAAUGAAUCACAAUUCACAAGCAUAAGUUGACCGAAGGGAGGCUGACUUCAUCUAGAAAGCCUAAAAUUUAAUUGGCGCAACAUAUCAGUAACCUUAGUUGAACGGCUAAUACUUGGAGGUAAACCCGGACUAUCAUCUAUAGCCCUAGUUUUAGAUCAUAUGGUAUACUGGAGGCUAUGGUGUCUCAGCAACUCUUGUACUUACGUGCAUUCAUGACUAGUGAUGUGAUGAAGCCGAAUUCAAUCGAGUUAUUUACGAACUUGAAUAUUGUAUUUGUUAUUUAAAAUUCUAAAACAUGCUAAUGUACUUCACUUAAAUUUAAUGAGUUAAAUUUAGCUUAAAUUCAAUCAAGUUCAAACUCAAGUUAAAGUAAACUAAAAUUAAAUUGAGCUUCACUUUGAAUUCAAGAUCAAAUAUUCUAACUCAAAUCAAAUUUAAAUAAUACACUAUUUGAGUUCGAUUCAAACUAUAUCCACGUGUCUUUUGGACAUAUCAGAAGCUCUACAAGUUGUAGAUAGGGCUUUAUAUUCACGAUGACAUUACACGGUGUAAGGAUUCGUGAAUUAGCCGCGGAAACACGACACUCCCUAUGCUCACUGUUUAGUCGGUCAACAAAAGCAGCAGCCAGCAGCCCAGCGCCAAAGAUAAACUCAGCAGCCGUUCAUUCUUCUCAUGGCGACCAUAACGAAUCCACACUAUAAAUAUACGCCAAAACCUCUCAUUCCAACGCCACCCCACCAACAUUUCAAUCUCUUUUAGCUCGUCCUAGCAUAAGGAGAAUCUACAUUGUCCCCUACCCAUCCUUCACUUCAGUAACCAUGGCAAAAUUUGUCAUACUUUCCUUCUUGAUUUCGCUCAACAUCUUAUCUUUUCCUUCCCCAGGAUCAGCCAUCUCCUCAUGCAAUGGUCCAUGCAAAACCUUGAAUGAUUGCGACGGCCAGUUAAUUUGCAUUGGAGGAAAAUGUAACGACGAUCCUGACGUUGGAACCCACAUAUGCAGCGGAAGCUCGCCUUCCGGGCCAUCCCCUCCGGGCAAUUGCCGCCCAACUGGCUCUAUGACGUGUAAAGGAGUGACUAAACCCACCUAUACAUGCUCUCCCCCGG
rnacentral:lncRNA from 1 species